AACGCACCUUGCGCUCCCUGGUAUUCCGGGGAGCAUGCCUGUUUGAGUGUCAUGAACUCUUCAACCCUCCCUUUUCUCAGUGACUAGAGAGGUGCUUGGAUUCUGAGUGUUGCCCCUUACCCGGGCUCAUUCGUAAUGCAUUAGCAUCCCAUUCGAAUUUCGGAUUGACUUGGCGUAAUAGACUAUUCGCUGAGGAUUCUACUCUCGCAGUAGAGCCGGGUUCGAGAGGAAGCUUCUAAUCUAGCUUAGUCUACUUUUAAGAUUAGACCUCAAAUCAGGCAGGAUUACCCGCUGAACUUAA
rnacentral:misc_RNA from 1 species